rnacentral:rRNA from 1 species
AUUGAACGCUAGCGGCAUGCCUAACACAUGCAAGUCGAACGAGUGGCGGACGGGUGAGUAAUGUCUGGGAAACUGCCCGAUGGCGGGGGAUAACUACUGGAAACGGUAGCUAAUACCGCAUACCAUCGGAUGUGCCCAGAUGGGAUUAGCUAGUUGGUGGGGUAACGGCUCACCAAGGCGACGAUCCCUAGCUGGUCUGAGAGGAUGACCAGCCACACUGGGACUGAGACACGGUCCAGACUCCUACGGGAGGCAGCAGUGGGGAAUAUUGGACAAUGGGGGCAACCCUGAUGCAGCCAUGCCGCGUGUAUGAUGAAGGCCUUCGGGUUGUAAAGUACUUUCGGCGGGGAAGCGGUAUCCGCAGAAGAAGCAUCGGCUAACUCCGUGCCAGCAGCCGCGGUAAUUC